GGUCCCAGAGCAGCUGCUCUUACUAUGAUCCGAGAGGUGGGAGUCAUUUAUAUAAUCAUUUUUCGAUGGAGGAUAAAUUAAGAAUGAGGCCGCCGCCAAGCCCAGCAGUGAUGAUGCUUCCCGAGCUCCAGCUAGCCUUCCAUUAGUACCGCCAAGAUAAUGGCUCCACAGCCUGCUCCACCUACAACUGUUCCAGAUGAUCUUGGAACAGAGGAGCCAGCCCAGAGGACUGCAAUGUGUGUGCCGGUUGUCACAGACCUAAAGGACCGGAGGGCCCACACCACUCUACAUCAACCCAGGGGGACCUCAUCAAGGAGUUGCCCGAGUGAAAAUCAACUCCAAAGGUUGGUCAGAGGCCAUAAGAACCCGAGGGUCCACACUCAUCAAAGAGUUAAUAUGCCUGCAUGAAAAUUAACUCCAAAAGUUGUGACAAUGCUCCAGCUGAUACCUUUCUAGAGUCAGGUACUCCCCAUGGGACGUGGGCUCUGAGACCUCCCUGGAACUUCAAACAGCAACUCCAUAACAACAGGCACUGUAGGGAGGUGAUAGGUUCUGGUGUGUGUGUGUGAGCGUGUGAUGGGUUUGGGGCAGCUGUUAGAAACCCUUGUCUCUCAUCAGAGCAGUUGAGGCCAGGUCUGCUUGGAGGUGGAACACCACCUACAGGGAUAAAGAAAUUGUCUCAUUUGGAGUACCUUCCUUUCUGUGGCAUGCCAUUAAUGCGUUGCCAUCAGAUAGCAGCUGUGUAAAGGGGUCCCGUUGUUGUUGCUGAGCAGAUAAAGGGUGUAAUGUACUGUAAGAGGUGUGUGUGUGUGUGUGUGUGUGACUGUGUGUUUGAACACUAAACAGAAGUUGGUUUUUCAUGGUUCAGAUGCAGGCAUGGCUUGACCCCUCACUGACCUGUCUACCUCGUUAAAUCCGGCAGGCGCAGAUGACACAUUUGCGCUUCCACACCGUUUACAAGAUUCCACGGGUCAAAAGGUGCAGGGGGUUUACGACAAGAACAACAGCGGACGCAAGUUGUACCACGUCGUGAACGGGAAGUGAGGCAGACUUAGACAUAACUGCCAAAGGCAUCAGGCUUUUUACAGUAGUUGGAUAGGUAAUGGGUAGUAUAACAGACAACGAAGGUUGAUCUUAGAAUACCCAGAUAAAAGUCAUAGAGUACUGAAUUAGCUCUGUUAAUUCCUAUAUUACCGUUCUCUAUAAGGCUAACUCCUAUGGACUUCUCCACCCUGUGAAGAGGAAUGCGAUCUAAGAAUAGGGUUGAUAUGGCAACACCUCCAGUACACCUAUCAGUAGGCCAGCCGGGCAGCUCUCUGUCCGCCGACGAGGAGAUAAUAGACCGACAGAUCAAAGUGACAUUGCCAAAUCUGCACUGCCACUAUGCCACCAAGCCCUGCUAUCCCAGGAGGGUGAGUGGCAGGCCCUAACUCUGACCGACAGGCACCUUUAUCCUGCUCCAUGUCCAUCUCAAGCCUCGUAAAUAUAACGAACACACAAACACCCACACCACACACUCUCUCUCUCACACACACACACCUCCUCUUUUCACCCUCCAUUCUCUGAGAAUGAAUUCAGCACCUUGGCAUUGCCCACUGUCCCUUCCAUUAGUCAUUACUUGCCUGCUGACAUCUGCCUAAAAAUAGUGCCCCUCACCCUCUAGGCAGCACUAUGGGCAACUGGGUCUUGACUUAGUGGAUCAAGGGAGGGAACACACUAAAGCUUGACUACAACUAUACCAUUUCUAUUGACUAUUUUAUGACUGUCUUUUAGAUAUGUUUGGGAUUUGAAUGUGUGAAUCGCUAUCUCUCUAUAUGACACACACUUUUCUUUCUCUGGUUUCGCCUUUAGGCUCCACCAUUGACUGAGAGCAGUCGAGGUUGGCGGGAGGAGCUAUAGGAGGACGGGCUCAUUGUAAUGGCUAAAAUGGAAUAAAUGGAACGGGAUCAAACGCAUCAAACAUAUGGAAACCACGUUUGACUGUUCCAUUAAUUCCAUUCCAACCAUUACAAUGAGCCUGUCCUCCUAUAGCUCCUCUCACCAGCCUCCACUGACAGAGAGUGAACAUGUGUGGGGAAAUGUGAUCUGUGGUUUGACACCUCUAUGUUGCAUGGCUGCCCUCUGCUGGGCCGGAUGAAUACAGCUGUUAAAUAGAUUUUCUAGUGACUAUUCUAAUCUAAGCAACUGCGUCAGUCGGCUAGAUGUUAUCCAGUGAGAAGAUUUAUACGGUUAGAUAAUGUGCUCAUAAAAAUCUAGUUGAUACUCUAUAGGGACACGUAAACAUUCUAUCAAUAUUCACUGAUCCAACUACACAGGAGAGGUUAAGUCAAUAAGAAAACCAUUACGUCAUUGUUUCAAGACAUGAAUCAGGCACUACCCGAGAAACCAAACUAAAUGCGAGUCAAAGACAGAGAAGAGAUUCUCAAAACGUUAGAGGCAUUACAGUGACUUCUCAACACACCAGUAGUGUGGCGAAGGCAACUCUGUGUUUGAAGUAACAAGUCAAACACACUUCUCCCUAGCNNNNNNNNNNCAAGAUUGUUGGAAAAGCAUUCCAUGUGAAGCUGGUUGAGAGAAUUCCAAAAGUGUACGAAUCAAUAUAUUUAGAUAUUUUUUAAACACUUUACUUUUUAAACACGUUACUAUACGAUUCCAUGUGUGUUAUUUCAUAGUUUUGAUGUCUUCACUAUUAAUCUACAAUGUAGAAAAAAAGUAAAAAAUAAAGACAAACCCUUAAAUGAGUAAGUGGGUCCAAACUUUUGACUUGUACUGUAUGUCUAAUUAAAUAUUAAAUUCAGCAUAAUUUCAACCACCCAG
rnacentral:lncRNA from 13 species